rnacentral:rRNA from 1 species
AAUCUCCGCAAGGAGAAAGGCUAGUGGCGAACGGCUGAGUAACACGUAGGUGACCUGCCCUGAAGUGGGGGAUAACAACUCGAAAGAGUUGCUAAUACCGCAUGUGACCACCGAUCCAUUUCGGUGCUCAAAGUCGCAAGACGCUUUUGGAGGGGCCUGCGGCGGAUUAGCUAGUUGGUGGGGUAACGGCCUACCAAGGCGUCGAUCCGUAGCUGGUCUGAGAGGAUGACCAGCCAGACUGGGACUGAGACACGGCCCAGACUCCUACGGGAGGCAGCAGUUAGGAAUUUUGCGCAAUGGGGGAAACCCUGACGCAGCCACGCCGCGUGCGGGAUGAAGGCCUUCGGGUCGUAAACCGCUUUUGUCGAGGAAGACACCCGACGGUACUCGGCGAAUAAGCAACGGCUAACUACGUGCCAGCAGCCGCGGUAAUACGUAGGUUGCGAGCGUUGUCCGGAUUUACUGGGCGUAAAGCGCGCGCAGGCGGUCUUGAAAGUCGAAUGUGAAAGCUCCCGGCCCAACUGGGAGAGGCCGUUCGAAACUUCGAGACUUGAAGGCGGGAGAGGCAGAUGGAAUUUCCGGUGUAGCGGUAAAAUGCGUAGAUACCGGAAGGAACACCAGUGGCGAAAGCGAUCUGCUGGCCCGCCCUUGACGCUCAGGCGCGAAAGCUAGGGGAGCGACCGGGAUUAGAUACCCGGGUAGUCCACGCCCUAAACGUUGCGAACUAGGUGUUGGCAGGAUUGACCCUGUCAGUGCCGCAGCUAACGCAUUA